UACGUAGGGUGCUAGCGUUGUCCGGAAUUAUUGGGCGUAAAGAGCUCGUAGGCGGCCUGUUACGUCUGCUGUGAAAUCCCGGAGCUUAACCCCGGGCGUGCAGUGGAUACGGGCAGGCUGGAGGCAGGCAGGGGAGAACGGAAUUCCCGGUGUAGCGGUGAAAUGCGCAGAUAUCAGGAGGAACACCGGUGGCGAAGGCGGGUCUCUGGGCCGAUACUGACGCUGAGGAGCGAAAGCGUGGGGAGCGAACAGG
rnacentral:rRNA from 1 species